UGUUCGGGUGCCCAAGUCCUCCUGAUCGGGGCCUCUCCCAGAGUGGGUGUCAGGCCUUUACUGGCACUCGACGCUGUAGUUCUGAACGUCCUUGGAGUCGGGUUGUUAGAAUGCAGCCCAAAGUGGGUGGUAAACUCCAUCUAAGGCUAAAUACCGACACGAGUCCGAUAGCGGACAAGUACCGUGAGGGAAGUUGAAAGAACUUUGAAGAGAGAGUUCAAGAGUACGUGAAACUGCUUAGAGGUGAACGGGUGGAUCCGUAAAGUCGACCCGGGGAAUUCACUUGCCGUUUUCAGACGGCGGACGUUGGGAUAGGGAUCUGUAAAGACCCGCCCGGCGUUCGGCUGUCUUCGGCGAGUGCACUUUCCUCGGGUAGAGUGCCACGACCGGUUUGGGGCGGUCACAAGCCAGUCGGGAAGGUGACUUCCUCUUCGGAGGAAGUGUUAUAGCCCGGCCAGGUCGACUGUUCCGAGACCGAGGAUUUGCCGCGUCUCACCUGCCCUCGGCGCUCUGCCUGCGUUCGACUGGGGAAGCACUGCUUGCAGUUCUCUCCGACCGCGUGGGUGGAUCGGCUGGGAAGCACGAGGCGCUGCGGGUCAGUGGCGAAUCGGUCGGUCCUCCACCCGACCCGUCUUGAAACACGGACCAAGGAGUCUAACAUGUGCGCGAGUCAUGGGGUUCUGUACGAAACCUAAAGGCGCAAUGAAAGUGAAGGUCAACCUCCGGUCGGCCUAGGUAGGAUCCCCGUCGAGGGGCGCACUACCGGCCCGUCUCGACCACAUUGUUGGUGGGGCGGAGCAAGAGCGUACACGUUGGGACCCGAAAGA
rnacentral:rRNA from 1 species